GUUGCAGCCCCAAAAUCAGAGGGACCAUGCAUCCUGGGCCCCGUGGAACAGCCCACAAGGAUCACAGCCAGGGGCAGUUCCCCUAGUCUGCAAUGAAUGGGGUUCCUCUGACAAAGCAAUCAACUUCUUCAUGGUUGGCAGGUCUGGAGCUCCUGAGGCACAGAAUGAAGAGCAGCUGAUGGGCUUGGAGAUGGGUUCUUGUUAUAAUCCCAACAAAGAUGAGAUCUACAGAAGCUGGGUAUUUGAAUUUGUGGAGAAUUUGAUCCUGCUUCCUCUUGCUUCUUCGAUGGUAUUCCAGGCGGAUACACUGGUGGGCAAACACUACCACCCAUCCAUAACAAAACUCAUUACGCAAAGACUCACAAGGUGGAGAACUGACCACCCAACUCCACUGCUCACUAACUCUGUAAACUCAAGAAAAAUUGCCAGAGCCUGGACAUACCUGUGUCCAAAGCACACUGGAAAAACUCUGCUCCAGUCUUCAUAUGCAUGCAUGAAAGCCCAGGCCAGACUCCGGGACAGCAGACUGGUGGGUGACAUGCAGAGCAGGACAGGUUGCCUAGUCACAUGCUCCAGCCUCUCUUCUAAGCCAAAUGAAAGUGAACACAGGACAUUCAGUUAAAUUGGCAUUUCAGGUAAGCUACAAAUAUUUUUAGUGUAUUUUUCAAGUAUUACAUAAGACAUACUUAUGUUGAUGC
rnacentral:lncRNA from 1 species